rnacentral:lncRNA from 1 species
UUUAGGUUGUGCAACAAGAGUCCAACGCUUUUUCUUUUUCCCUUGUUGAUUUCUCUAUAUAUGUUCAUAAGUAGUCAUCUUGUAGGGUUUUAAUGUGGGCUUUUUGUUAUUUUAAUUUCCUCUUCAUUUUGGGAUUUCAUAGUUUUACUAGAAUUGGAUUCUCGAUUCGGCGCUUAGACUGUGAUGUAGAAUUACCCCACUUCGUUUCUGGAUUCUAGAAUUUGACGAGAAUUGGAUUCUUGAUCAGUGCUUGGACCGUGAUUUAGAAUUACUGGAAGCUAGUGUGAGACUCUGUGUCGGAAUCUGUUAUCACCAGUUUGGUAUUGGCUUCGGUAUCUAUUGCUACGUCAGGAAAAUCUUUUCGUGGGAUCAAGAAACUAGGGUUUACUUGAAUCUUU